GGGGACGACAGGCUUCGACGCGGUUGGUUCAUGGGGGUGGUUGCGAGUCGAGGUUCCGGGCGGCCUCGUAAAACACCCGGAAAAACCAUAAGUGCGGACUCUCACGAGUACGCCCUCGCUGCUUAGCUAGAAGCUAGGCGAGUGAGGUCUUGGCCCCCGCCCGCCUGCGGCGGGGAUCGCCGGGAUCAGAUAGCAGGCUCACUCGGAGAGGGUGGCUCCCACCGAUCCGAGGAAACUCUUCGGGGGCUGGUCCCGCGCAACCCCGCCGGCGUGGCGAGCGCGGGACGAGAUCAGAGCGCCGGCUACGCUCGUAGAAGCCACCUUUCGUGCAACCGCGGACGCGGGUUCGAUUCCCGCCGUCUCCACUA
rnacentral:tmRNA from 1 species